UCCCUGGUGGUCCAGAGGCUAAGAGUCUUGCUUCCAAAGCAGGUGGGGCCAGGUUCGAUCCCUGGUCAGGGUA
rnacentral:tRNA from 1 species